GGCUGGUCCGAUGGUAGUGGGUUAUCAGAACUUAUUAACAUUAGUGUCACUAAAGUUGGUAUACAACCCCCUACUGCUAAAUUUGACUGGCUUUAA
ensembl:Y_RNA Y_RNA Y RNA